rnacentral:rRNA from 1 species
UACGUAUGGAGCAAGCGUUAUCCGGAUUUACUGGGUGUAAAGGGUGCGUAGACGGGUUAACAAGUUAGUUGUGAAAUCCCUCGGCUCAACUGAGGAACUGCAACUAAAACUAUUAAUCUUGAGUGCAGGAGAGGUAAGUGGAAUUCCUAGUGUAGCGGUGAAAUGCGUAGAUAUUAGGAGGAACACCAGUGGCGAAGGCGACUUACUGGACUGUAACUGACGUUGAGGCACGAAAGUGUGGGGAGCAAACAGG